CCUACGGGAGGCUGCAGUAGGGAAUAUUCCACAAUGGGCGAAAGCCUGAUGGAGCAACGCCGCGUGGGUGAAGAAGGUCUUCGGAUCGUAAAACCCUGUUGUUAGAGAAGAAAGUGCGUGAGAGUAACUGUUCACGUUUCGACGGUAUCUAACCAGAAAGCCACGGCUAACUACGUGCCAGCAGCCGCGGUAAUACGUAGGUGGCAAGCGUUAUCCGGAUUUAUUGGGCGUAAAGGGAACGCAGGCGGUCUUUUAAGUCUGAUGUGAAAGCGUUCGGCUUAACCGGAGUAGUGCAUUGGAAACUGGGAGACUUGAGUGCAGAAGAGGAGAGUGGAACUCCAUGUGUAGCGGUGAAAUGCGUAGAUAUAUGGAAGAACACCAGUGGCGAAAGCGGCUCUCUGGUCUGUAACUGACGCUGAGGUUCGAAAGCGUGGGUAGCAAACAGGAUUAGAUACCCGGGUAGUC
rnacentral:rRNA from 1 species